rnacentral:rRNA from 1 species
GAAUGCUGACAUAAGUAACGAUAAAGCGGGUGAAAAGCCCGCUCGCCGGAAGACCAAGGGUUCCUGUCCAACGUUAAUCGGGGCAGGGUGAGUCGACCCCUAAGGCGAGGCCGAAAGGCGUAGUCGAUGGGAAACAGGUUAAUAUUCCUGUACUUGGUGUUACUGCGAAGGGGGGACGGAGAAGGCUAUGUUAGCCGGGCGACGGUUGUCCCGGUUUAAGCAUGUAGGCUGGUUAUCCAGGCAAAUCCGGAUAAUCAAGGCUGAGGUGUGAUGACGAGGCACUACGGUGCUGAAGUAACAAAUGCCCUGCUU